GUCAGUGGAUAAGGAUCGAUAAUACAGCAUCUGCAAAAAUCAAAAUAAAUGACACCGAUGAUGGACGAUAUUUGAUCCACUCAAAGAAAUUGAGAGGUAGACGAUAUAUAAGUAAACUGGUUAUACAAAAUACAACAGCAUCAGACUCCGGAGUUAUUAGUUGCAGUGUCAGAAGACUAUCUACCGUCAUAGAAAAACAAUUUAAAGUUCAAAUUCAUGAACGAUGUAUAUAUUUCUUUUAAAUUACAGAUCAGGGUUUUUUAAUGGAUAAACAUAUGCCAAAACGAUGUACAGAGAUGCCAUUUCACCGAUAACUUCAGAUUUUGGUCUAAAUGCAAAUCGCAUUUAUCUCUUUUUGUCUUAUUGACAAAGGACUAUAUAUAAAAACACACGUCUAGGUCUGAUUCAUAUUUAGAUCUAAUCGUUAAAAUUAGAAGUAAUAGUCGCUUAAGAAUUAAACUAUAUCAUAAGUUUGCUUCUGUACCUUGUCCUUAUAAUGUUUAUAUAAAAAUGUACCAUUUUGCUUUUUUCUGUUUUGAUAUAGAUGUUUGUUUAAUAGUGAUUCAGAUUAUAACACACUAUUGACUGUAUCACCCCUAUUAUUGAAAUUGUUUUCAUAUUUUUACACUUUUCCUUUUUUAUAUAAUAUCAGUAUUUUAGCUUUUAUAUUUGCAUCCUAUAUAAAAAAAAAAAAAGCUCAUACAAAAUUUGAGCGAUUGAGUUCCUUAUGAGACUUUCACGUUGUAAAGGGUUGCUGCUUACACGGAAUCUAUUUAACCAAAGGCAAAGGGUAGUUUUUGUACAGUUAUACUUUUGCAGAAGAUAAAAUCGAGAGAUUAUAAUGAGUCGUAUUUAAUUUCUCCAUUCUCACUUUUGUGUAAAUGUCUUACUAAAUUUGAUAUAUUAUAUUACCGAUAUGUACAUGGGGGUACAUGAACUCACAACUUCAACUAAUUGAGCAGGAACUGCGUUACGUUCCGGGGUACAUAGGUUGCUCAAUUGACAGAGUUCUGUUUAGUUUUUUUGCACACAGUUGUUAGUCUUUGUGUCUUAGCUUUACUAAUUAACUCUGUAAGAACUUAUAAAAUGAACUGGUUUUUUUUUUUGCAUUUCUUUUUGGGGAUCUUCACAACAAAUUUGCGGUAAAUUAAUGUCUACAGAAGAAGAAUAAAAAUGUAUUGAAAAGUAGAAGAUGAUCAGAUAACUGUAUAUCCCCACUUGUGACGAGUAUGGGUAAUAUAAAGUCGGAUUUAGCAUUAGUUGGUUAGAUUUCUUUGUAGUAUUUUGUGGAGUGAGUUCUGUUGUUUUUAUUUUAAUCAGAAUGCAUGGUUAUUGUUUUAUUUUUUGUUUUAGGUAUCAAGAUUAAUAUAGAAUAGCUUAUACAUUACGUUCGGAGCAUUUAACAUGACUUUUGUAUUAAAUUUUGUUUAAAAAACUGUUAUCGAGUCUUUAUAAUUGUUUCUUAAAGAAAAAAGACUAACCGUUUUACAGGUUAAUUAUAUAGAAAUUCCGAUUUUAUUCUAACUUUUGAUUUGCAUUAUAAUGUCGUUUCUGCAUUCUUUUUUGUGCCACUUUUAAAUUGCAAAAAGAUCUUCAACAGUUGAUUUAAAUAAAAACCCACUACAUGAAUGUUACCGUAUAAUAUGAACGUCAGGCUGAAGAUUGAAGGGUAUACAAAAUAAAAUUCAAUUUCAGAAUCAGGAUUGAACCCUACAAGAAUAGAAUCAUAUACACAUGUAGGAGAAGGAGUAGUGGAAAUUCUCCAAAGGAACAAAUGGAAUCGGUUUACUUGCUAUGGCUUCACUGCCGUGGAGGCAUCAGUUUUGUGUCGUUCAC
rnacentral:lncRNA from 1 species